ACGGAAGGCAGCAGUGAGGAAUAUUGGUCAAUGGGCGGAAGCCUGAACCAGCCAAGUCGCGUGAAGGAUGAAGGUAUUAUGUAUUGUAAACUUCUUUAGACGUAGAGAAAUAAGGCGCUCGUGAGCGCUGAUGCUAGUAUACGUAGAAUAAGGAUCGGCUAACUCCGUGCCAGCAGCCGCGGUAACACGGAGGAUCCGAGCGUUAUCCGGAUUUAUUGGGUUUUAAGGGUGCGCAGGCGGAGAUGCAAGCCAGCCGUAAAAUCGUGGGGCUCAAUCCCAUUCAGCGGUUGGAACUUCAUCCCUUGAUUGCGGCAGAGGGAGGUGGAACUCGUGGUGUAGCGGUGAAAUGCAUAGAUAUCACGAAGAACUCCGAUUGCGAAGGCAGCCUCCUGGACCGUAAAUGACGCUCAUGCACGAAGGCGCGGGUAUCAAACAGGAUUAGAUACCCUGGUA
rnacentral:rRNA from 1 species